rnacentral:rRNA from 1 species
GUAGGUGGCAAGCGUUGUCCGGAAUUAUUGGGCGUAAAGCGCGCGCAGGCGGUCCUUUAAGUCUGAUGUGAAAGCCCACGGCUCAACCGUGGAGGGUCAUUGGAAACUGGGGGACUUGAGUACAGAAGAGGUAAGCGGAAUUCCAAGUGUAGCGGUGAAAUGCGUAGAGAUUUGGAGGAACACCAGUGGCGAAGGCGGCUUUCUGGUCUGUAACUGACGCUGAGGCGCGAAAGCGUGGGGAGCAAACAGGGAUUAGAUACCCUGGUAGUCCACGCCGUAAACGAUGAGUGCUAAGUGUUAGGGGGUUUCCCGCCCCUUAGUGCUGCAGCUAACGCAUUAAGCACUCCGCCUGGGGAUACGGCCGCAAGGCUG